CUCUCUCUCUCUCUCUCUCUCUCUCUCUCUCUCUCUCUCUCUCUCUCCGUGUCUCAGGUUCCGCAGGGAUGUGGGUUAAUAACGCACGCUUAAGUUCCCCGUCACCCCCGAAUAACAGGAGGUGUAAUUGCCUGUUUAUCCCAUGCGAGGGGAAAAAUUGAGCAUCGAAAGCCAGCGUCUUCUCCAGAGUCGCAUUUUCUCUCACUGCUGACAGCUGUCUCUCUCUCUCUCUCUCUCUCUCUCUCUCUCUCUCUCUCUCUCUCACACACACACACACACACACACACGGCACUAACAGUCCGGUGAAAUGACAGCAGCAGGAGGACUUGUUAACCGCCAGUGAUGGACGAGGCAGAGAGAAAAGCAGAGUCUUCCUUCCUUCCUUUCUUUCUUUUAUUUCUCUUUUAUUUCUCUCUCUCUCUCUCUCUCUCUCUCUCUCUCUCUCUCUCUCUCUCUCUCUCUUUUAAUUCCUUUCUUGUUUAAUACACUUUAUUCUAUUGAGCAAUUCCAUUCUAUUUCUUCUUUUUUCCGUCUGCUUUCUUUCGGCUUCCAUUUUUCUUCUUGUUGGUCAGUCAUUUUUCCGUCGUUUCCCUUCUUCCUGUGCUCUCCUCUUUCCUGCGUCUGUCUCCCUGCGUGUCUUUUUAUUCGCGUUUUUAAAAACGGUUUUCUUCUUUACUUCCUUUCCUUCCUUCUGCUUCUUCAUUCUUCUUCGCUCCUUGCUUUUAUAUCUUUUUUCUUACUUUCUUUCUUCUUCUAUUCUAUAACUUUUGCCGUCCCUUUCCCUUGAUUUUUCUUUCCAUCGUCUGUUUUUUUCCCCCAUUUCCUUCUUCCAUACUCCUUUCUUUCUUUCUUUCAUUUCUCUGUCUCUCUUUUUAAUUCCUUUCUUCCUUAAUACACUCUUUUUUAUUUCCUAAUUCCGUCUUUCAUUCUUUUUCUUCUUUUGUUUGUCCGCCUUCUUUCUCAAGUUCUUUUUCUUUCUUUCAACUUUCAUUUUUUCAAAUUAAAAAAAAAAAAAAAAUCAAUUUCAUUUUGGUUAAUAUUUUUUCAGUCGCUUCCCUUCUUCCUGUUAUUCCUUUCCUUUCUUUCUUAGUUCCUUUCUUACUUCCAUCCAUCCAUCCUUCCUUCAUCUCUCUCUCUCUCUCUCUCUCUCUCUGUCUCUCUCUCUAUCUGUCUCUCUCUCUAUCUGUCUCUCUGUCUCUCUCUCUGUCUCUCUCUCUCUCUGUGCUGAAGGAGACAGGACGCCGGGUCUGGACGUGUGUUAGAGAGACAGGAAGAGGGAAAAUCUUGUUAAAAUCCAGAACGAAUGCUGAUUUAUUCUCCUGGUUCUGUUCAGGUUUUAAAAAAAAAAACGUUUUAGACGUUAGCACACAGUGAAGAAUGAAAUGUAACGACUCAGAAACAUGAUCUGGUGAGAGGAGCUGUCUCACACACACACACACACACACACACACACACACACAGCGUUUCCGAGGUUGGGGAUGAGCUAGCGCGCUUUGGCUAAGCCUGCAGUUCUGAUGCUAAAUGAGCUGCGGAGUCGGUGCUGACACAGAGAAAGAGGAAAAAGGGAACAGACUCAGCGUGAGGGGAAAAGAGAGAGAGAGAGAGAGAGAGAGAGAGAGAGAGAGAGAGAGAGAGAGAGGAAGACAAACACUACACUAUAUACUACAAAAUGAUCACAUCAUGAUUCUGACAUGUUUAACUUUGUGUUAAAAUUUUCUACUGAAUCUUUUUAAACAAUUUUAAACAUUCAGUAAAAAAAAACAAAAAAAAAAAAAACGUUUACUGAAAAUCGAACUUGUCAGGAUUUAUAGUCGCGAGGAAAAACAGACGAUCCGGCGGAUAUUUCCGAACCGCGACGGACUCGAUCACGACACUGACGUCAGCGUCUCGCACGCCGCUGAUCACAAUCCUCUCCCGUCCUUCAAUUUGGCUUCGUGAAGCGAAAAAAUGAAAUAAAAUAAAGUACAAUAACAGCAUUAAAGAAGCGGUUGAGCAGAUAAAUCCAGUCAGUGUUUCCUCGGAGUGAAAUCAUUACAGUGAAAGUUCUUUUAUCACCUAUUUAUUUUUCAGAUUUUUUCCAGUAUUGUGCUCAUAUCCGAUUAGAAAUAAACACACCCCGUGUUUGUACAUCCCCGAGUGGACGUAAACGACGGCGAUCGUCCACAUGAUCGUCCACAUGAUGUCUAACAUGUUUACACAUUUUACCCUUUAAUAUCAUCAUCACUUCCAGUGCAGUUUCGACAGUAAUGUUUAGAGGGCGUGGCCGAAAGGGGCGGGGCAUACCUAUGGUAAUUUUUUUUAAUGGUUCAGAACUGCACCUUUAACUGUGUUUACACUCAUAUAAACGUGUUAAAUCUCAAUCAUCCGGUUCCUUUUCCACCAACGCGUGUGUAGAGAGACCCUUCCCCCUUCGCUGGUUAAAAAAAAGGAAUUAAAUACAUUUUCAAAAUGGCCGUUUAUUUCCCUCCUUUUAAAGACACAAAGUGGGCGUGGCUUGCCUAUUUCCCUCUCAGCCGCAGCGACGUUUUAAUAUUUCAUCGGCACUUUGAUUCGACGUUCUCAGACAAACGGAGCACUUAGAAAACUGCAGAUGCUAAAACAGUGGGUCAAAAAAUAAAUGACUAAUUAUUUAAAAAAAAAAAAAAAAAAAACACAUUUUAAAUGACAGAUUAUAUAAUCCAACACAGCAUUUCCUCCUUAUGUAAGAUAAAUGAUGUGAAUAAUAAUAAUAACAAUUAAAGGUAUUUGAGCGUGGUAUGUAAAGUGAAAAUGAAAAAAAAAGUAACAAGAAAUUAAAAACCAUAAUUCAGUAUUGAAUAUUUACUCCUUUUUGUCCACAGAUAACUCGUACGCUUGAACACUUUGUUUUGUGUGAAUACUUUCCUUUCUUUUUGUUUUCUUUUUGGGGAUUGUUUUGGUUUGAAACCCGCUGGCUUUGGGCCGUGCUGUCCGCUGUGUUUCGUCCUGUUCGUUUCGUGUUUAUUCGCUUGGAUUUUCGCGCCGAGCUUCAUGAAUAGUGCAUGGGCCCUGAACAGCGUUUUUCCAUUAGGCACACUCGAGGAAGAAAAAGAAUUAAUGAAUAAAAAAAAUAAAGGUCCUGUUUGGUUUCUUUGUUUGAACUGAUUUGCUUCUGCGUGUAUCUUCUGUAUCAUAGCUGACUGUCGAUGGUUUUUGCAUUAAAUGCAUAAAGGGUUUCGGGAUGUAAAUGGAAUUUUAUUCAUAUUUUGUCCAAAUACCUCUCUUGUAAUUUGUAUCAGAAUUCUUGUACAAUUUUUAUAUUAAAGAUUUAUCAGUCACUGGCACGCCGAGCUCCUGUUUCCUCCCGACAGUGUCUACGUCUCGUCCUUCCUUUAAAAACACAACACUCUUUCUUUCCUUCAUUCUUUCUUCCAUAUUUCGUGCUUUUUAUUCUUUGAUUUCUG
ensembl:lncRNA